rnacentral:rRNA from 1 species
UACGUAGGGGGCUAGCGUUGUCCGGAUUUAUUGGGCGUAAAGAGCGUGUAGGCGGCCAGGUAAGUCCGCUGUAAAAGUCAAAGGCUCAACCUUUGAAUGUCAGUGGAUACUGCCGGGCUAGAGUCCGGAAGAGGCGAGUGGAACUCCCUGGUGUAGCGGUGGAAUGCGCAGAUAUCAGGAAGAACACCGACGGCGAAGGCAGCUCGCUGGGACGGUACUGACGCUGAGGCGCGAAAGCGUGGGGGAGCGAACAGG